rnacentral:lncRNA from 1 species
CACUUUUUUGCAGUUUCCAUGGAAACGGCGGCCAUUUAAAAAAAUUCCAGAGUCAGAUGCACAACUUCACAUGGGGGUCCUCAUUAUGUUAUAGUUCCAACAUUAUUGGAUCACUCAAUUCUUAGAAACACGAUGGACAAAAUGUGUGGAAGAAUAAUAAAAAUAAGAAAAAAAAGAAACGUAGAAUAACAAUACGUCACCCCAACUCCGUUGAGGGUGCCAUAAUCAUA